rfam:Lupinus angustifolius cultivar Tanjil chromosome LG06, whole genome shotgun sequence.
AGGCUGUCAUGAUAGACAACAUUUCUCGAUUCUGAUCAGGACCAAAGAAAAUUUAUUGUUCCUUGAUGACAGUGUUUGUGCGUGUCUGAGCCUU